UAACAAUGUUGAAUGCAAUGCCUAUUGCCAACAGACAGAGGGGAUCAUUGAUAGAAUUCAAAGAGUCACACAGAUUUACAUGACAGAAUAGAGUAAUACAUCCUACAUUUUGGAAGUACUUACUCCUGAGGUAACCCUAUUAAUCCUAAAAAAGACAGAGGGCUUCCACAGGUUCCAGGCAGAAACGGCUUUGCAAACAAAGGGACAUUUGGGAGCAUCCACAGAUUCUGAUCCUGAAUGGUUUUGAUGACAAAGGGAUGCCUCCUGUUGCUGCACCACA